GGCAAAUGGGGUUGGAAAGCAAAUUCCACCUUCAGCCCCUGCCUCAGGAUAACACAUCCCAGAAAAUAGACAUUCUGACAAGUUAGAACUGGAAGAAAAUAGCUUUAUUAUCUCUGUCAUGACUGAGAAGUAUCUUUUUACCCACAAUCCAUCCUUCUUUAUCAUCUAUAGUUACCUUCUCUCAGUCUCCUUUGUGAGUCUUUGGACUUUACACACAUUUAUGCCCAUUAACAGAUACACAGGUAUACAUUAUAGGAUCUACAUGUGAGGGAGAAUCUGGAAGGUUCUUUCUGAGCUUGGGUCACCUUAGUUGAUAUUAAGGGUUGAAGGUGGGGGAGGUUCAGCAUUUGGAGGCUACGGCAGAAGAUUUUGAAAUUCCAGACCAGUCUUGGCUGAAUAAAAAGACCUUGCUCAAGAGCAAAAAAUAAAUUAAUGUCUUCAGUGAAAAUAUCCAGAAGCAAGUUUCUCAUAAAAAAAGGAACAAACCUUCUACUGGGUAUGUGUUUGAUUAUCAGUCUAAAUAAGGAGAUAGGAUUGUGGGCUUUGAGGUUAGAGAAAAUUCCAGAUCUAGUCUGUCAUGAAGGCAGAGCAGAACACACUAUUGUUCCUGGUGCCGCAGACCUGUAGGGACUUCAUAAACCUUCAUCUCAUCAGUGGGUAAAAGCAUAAACAGUGUAAAGCUGUAACAUCGUAAGCCAAGGACUCAGUUUUGUAGAUCUACCCAUGGUUCCCCCUGGUGACUUCUUCAGAAUACAAAAAUGUUUAUUUUUGUGUUGCCUCUUGGAUCUUCCCCUUGUAUUUCUAGGUUACCUGUUCAGAACAUUGCUUACAGAAAUAUUUAAAAAUGACACAGAGAAUAUCCAUGAGAUUUCAGGAAUAUCACAUUCAGCAGAAUGAAGCCCUGGCAGCCAAAGCAGGCCUCUUAGGCCAACCACGGUAGAGGCCGGAGGCACGGACUUGCACUGAGAGAUUGCCAGCAGCUGUCACAGUCAGAACAAGGAUUCGUCUGGUGGAGAAUCCCCUGACACAGCAAGCGCCGUGGUACAUCAUCUGUCAUGACUACCUGGCCAACGGAAACCACCGGAGAAAAAAUCACUGUUCACCAGAAAGAGUCAAAACAGAAGGCCUUUCUGUGCAGUAGAAAUGGUAAGAUGCAGUGUUGUUGAGGCCUUAAGAUUCGUCUGCGUGGUCACCAUGAUUGCAAAAAUAAACCACUGUUCUUUUCUUUGUGACUGUUAAUUUUAAAAGCAAAAUAUGUGUCCAAUCAUGUAUGAGAUAGAAAAAAUUUAUUACUAAAAGUAAAAUAAGUGAAAAUAUC
rnacentral:lncRNA from 1 species